rnacentral:rRNA from 1 species
CGUGUAGGCGGUCAGGUAAGUGAGAUGUGAAAUGCCCCGGCUCACCCGGGGACCGGCAUCUCAUACUGCUUGGCUUGAGUACGGGAGAGGAUGUGGGAAUUCCUGGUGUAGCGGUGAAAUGCGUAGAUAUCAGGAGGAACACCGGUGGCGAAGGCGCACAUCUGGCCCGAUACUGACGCUGAGGCGCAAAGCUAGGGAGCAAACG